UACGUAGGGUGCGAGCGUUGUCCGGAAUUAUUGGGCGUAAAGAGCUCGUAGGCGGUCUGUCGCGUCGGAUGUGAAAACUCGGGGCUCAACCCCGAGCCUGCAUUCGAUACGGGCAGACUAGAGUUCGGUAGGGGAGACUGGAAUUCCUGGUGUAGCGGUGAAAUGCGCAGAUAUCAGGAGGAACACCCGUGGCGAAGGCGGGUCUCUGGGCCGAUACUGACGCUGAGGAGCGAAAGCGUGGGGAGCGAACAGG
rnacentral:rRNA from 1 species